rnacentral:rRNA from 1 species
CAAUAUAAGUGAUGGCGACCGGCGCACGGGUGAGUAACACGUAUCCAACCUGCCGAUAACUCGGGGAUAGCCUUUCGAAAGAAAGAUUAAUACCCGAUGGUGUAAUAAAACCGCAUGGUUUAAUUAUUAAAGAAUUUCGGUUAUCGAUGGGGAUGCGUUCCAUUAGGCAGUUGGUGAGGUAACGGCUCACCAAACCUUCGAUGGAUAGGGGUUCUGAGAGGAAGGUCCCCCACAUUGGAACUGAGACACGGUCCAA